rnacentral:rRNA from 1 species
GAUGAACGCUGGCGGCGUGCCUAAUACAUGCAAGUCGAGCGAACAGACGAGGAGCUUGCUCCUUCGACGUUAGCGGCGGACGGGUGAGUAACACGUAGGUAACCUACCUAUAAGACUGGGAUAACUUCGGGAAACCGGAGCUAAUACCGGAUAAUAUUUCGAACCGCAUGGUUCGAUAGUGAAAGAUGGCUUUGCUAUCACUUAUAGAUGGACCUGCGCCGUAUUAGCUAGUUGGUAAGGUAACGGCUUACCAAGGCAACGAUACGUAGCCGACCUGAGAGGGUGAUCGGCCACACUGGAACUGAGACACGAUCCAGACUCCUACGGGAGGCAGCAGUAGGGAAUCUUCCGCAAUGGGCGAAAGCCUGACGGAGCAACGCCGCGUGAGUGAUGAAGGUCUUCGGAUCGUAAAACUCUGUUAUUAGGGAAGAACAAACGUGUAAGUAACUGUGCACGUCUUGACGGUACCUAAUCAGAAAGCCACGGCUAACUACGUG